CCCAGACUCCUACGGGAGGCAGCAGUGGGGAAUAUUGCACAAUGGGGGAAACCCUGAUGCAGCGACGCCGCGUGAGCGAUGAAGUAUUUCGGUAUGUAAAGCUCUAUCAGCAGGGAAGAAAGUGACGGUACCUGACUAAGAAGCCCCGGCUAACUACGUGCCAGCAGCCGCGGUAAUACGUAGGGGGCAAGCGUUAUCCGGAUUUACUGGGUGUAAAGGGAGCGUAGACGGCAGCGCAAGUCUGGAGUGAAGUGCCGAGGCCCAACCCCGGAACUGCUUUGGAAACUGUGCAGCUGGAGUGCAGGAGAGGUAAGCGGAAUUCCUAGUGUAGCGGUGAAAUGCGUAGAUAUUAGGAGGAACACCAGUGGCGAAGGCGGCUUACUGGACUGUAACUGACGUUGAGGCUCGAAAGCGUGGGGAGCAAACAGGAUUAGAUACCCCCGUAUCC
rnacentral:rRNA from 1 species